UAUUGGACAAUGGGCGCAAGCCUGAUCCAGCAAUGCCGCGUGGGUGAAGAAGGUCUUCGGGUUGUAAAGCCCUUUCGGUGGGGAAGAAAAGCGGAAGGUUAAUACCUUUCCGUAUUGACGGUACCCACAGAAGAAGCACCGGCUAACUACGUGCCAGCAGCCGCGGUAAAACGUAGGACACGAACGUUAUCCGGAAUUACUGGGCGUAAAGGGCGCGCAGGCGGUGGGUUAAGUUAGGCAUGAAAGCUCCCUGGCUAAACCGGGAGAGGAUGUCUGAUACUGGGCCAUUGGAGUGCGAUAGAGGGGUGUAGAAUUCCGCGUGUAGUGGUGAAAUGCGUAGAGAUGCGGAGGAAUACCAGUGGCGAAGGCGGCACCCUGGAUCGACACUGACGCUGAGGCGCGAAAGCAUGGGUAGCGAA
rnacentral:rRNA from 1 species